GCGAGUAUUGUAGCAUACAAGGCGGACGGCUCAGUAACACGUAGUCAACCUCACUCGUGGACGUGGAUAACCUCGGGAAACUGAGAAUAAACCACGAUAGAUCAUAGUGCCUGGAAUGGCUUAUGGUCCAAACAGUUUACUGCCAUGGGAUGGGACUGCGGCCUAUCAGCUUGUUGGUGAGGUAAUGGCCCACCAAGGCGAUUACAGGUACGGGCUCUGAGAGGAGAAGCCCGGAGAUGGGUACUGAGACACGGACCCAGGCCCUAUGGGGCGCAGCAGGCGAGAAACCUUAGCAAUGUGCGAAAGCACGACUGGGUCAGUCCGAGUGAUUCCUGAUAAAGGAGUCUUUUGCUUGUCCUAAAAGCACAGGUGAAUAAGGGGUGGGCAAGUCUGGUGUCAGCCGCCGCGGUAAUACCAGCACCUCGAGUGGUCAGGACGUUUAUUGGGCCUAAAGCAUCCGUAGCCGGCUCUGCAAGUCUUCGGUUAAAUCCACCUGCUCAACAGAUGGGCUGCUGGAGAUACUACAGAGCUAGGGAGUGGGAGAGGCAGACGGUAUUCAGUGGGUAGGGGUAAAAUCCUCUGAUCCAUUGAGGACCACCAGUGGCGAAGGCGGUCUGCCAGAACACGUUCGACGGUGAGGGAUGAAAGCUGGGGGAGCAAACCGGAU
rnacentral:rRNA from 1 species